rnacentral:rRNA from 1 species
AUGGCGGUGGAGACGCGGAUCCGCACUGCCCCCGGCACCGCCAUCCGGUUCAACGUGCUGGCCCUGGGCGAGGAGCGCGCCGGCGCCGGCCUCUCGUCCGUGCACCUCCGCUGCACCGUCACCCUCGAGCACGCCACCCGCCGGCUCCGCGGCGGCGGCCUCGCCCUCCCCGACCGCGUCAAGCCGGAGUUCCUCCAGCAGCCGUCCACGUCCGACGAGGUGCGCGACCUGCGCGACCCCUCCGUCCUCCUCCGCCCCGACGACGUCCUCCCCGCCGUGCUCGACAUGCUCGCCUCCACGCCCGUGCUGCGCGGCGUCGGCCUCGACCUCUCCGAUGAGUCCGCCUGGGACGGCGAGCACGCGCCGCGGCGCAUCGCGGCGUGGCUGCGCGAGCAGGGCUCCCGCUGGCUCGCCUCCUGCCCGGAGCGGCGCUGCCGGUUCGAGGUGGACGCGCGGCUCCGGGUGACGCGGGUGUUCAGCGAGCCCCGGGCCGUGCUCCGGUGGUGCGCCGAGGUGGCGAUGCAGACGGUGGCGCCCGGGUCGGACGAGGAGUGCCGGAUCUGCUUCGACGAGUUCCGCGACGGCGGCAAGUCCGGGUCGGUGAACCUGCCCUGCUCGCACGCGUACCACGCGCACUGCAUGCUCACCUGGCUCGACCGCGGCGCCAACUGCCCCACCUGCCGCCACGACCUGUCCGGCAUGGUCGCCGCCGCGCCAUGGACCGCGCCGACGAUAUGGGCGACAGGGACGACGGCCAGCUCGAGUACUGCUACGGCCAGGCGGCCCGGGCCGCGGGCGCGGGGGCGCCGGUGA